CGGGCGGGCGGGUCCGCGGGUGUGCCCGGCGCGCGGAGGAAGAACUUGGAAGAUGUCUGUGUUCUGCACUGUGAAAGCUGAGUUGAGACAGCUUUUAAAGGAAAAUUCUAGCAGGCAACAAAUAAGAUACUGGAGCCUGAAAGAAUACAUAGAGUUUUUGAAACAAAAAGUGUGAAACAAGUCUUUCUACUACCCAGGCCCCUGCUGUGCAACAUGAUGAUCACAUAGGAAGAAGGAGGCAAAAUGAAGUAACACACAGGAUUCAAACAACCAUUAUACAGAUUCCAAAGUCACCAUCAAGACCCGCCAUAAAAGCUAUUGAACCCAAAAAGUUCCUAAUGAAGAAAAUAGAAGCAGAGGUAAUAAUCAUCCAUAUUCUUUUAAUGUUAACU